UGAAAAAGGAAGAUCUUUUUUAACACUUGCAAGGAUUUGAUUCACAUACAUAUCUUGAUCCUUGCAAAAAUGAAGUGUGAUUUAAUCUCUUAUCGAUUUUAACUUCAUUCAAGUAAGCUCACAAAUGGCUUUCCUCCUUCAUACAAAAAGAUAAUGACAAAUAAAAAGGAAGAAGUAAUGAAAGCUAUCUCCAUGUCAUGUUUUC
rnacentral:lncRNA from 1 species